ACAAAACAACGGGAGGCCUCGAGGGUCAAAUUAGAAGAACGCUCUUCGCUUGUAACGCGAAUCUGAGGCCGAAUGAACAGGUUUGAGGUUGCACACACAUUUGCAUGGACUGAUUGUAAGUAUUUGUUUUAUUGUAGUCUUGUGAGGUAAGUGUAGUAUUUCAGUAUUUUAGUUUUACAGAGUUUAAAUUACUUUUUAUAGUUUAUUCUCAGUUUCAGUGCUAUGUUUAGUUCCCUACAAAACAUAGGUUUUGAACGUUGUAGAUCUUUUUCGAAGUGGAAUCAUCCAUGUAGUAUGAUUUGUGUGGCUGACCUGAUAUUGAGUUUGAGUCCCUCCCCAGUUUCUCCCUAUUUCUAAAAGGUGCAUAUUACUAGUUUGACUAUGUACCUUCACCCCACAAAACGGGAAAGUUUCAGACAAUUUCCAUUAAUGUCAUUAGGAAGCAAAAAUGAACACAAUCUUAAAACUGCAAAGUAAACAUGGUACCUAACUUCUAAAAUGUAUUGAACACAGUGUGCUUAAAAGUACUCCAAAGAAAGGGUAACUUCAAUGGUCCGCAUCAUUUACAGUAAGGAGGUGGUGGAAUGGAUAAGGUAUUUGUAUAGUUUUCUUUCUAGGAAAACUUAGGGUAUGAUAAAUGAUGUAACAGGUUUUUUUUUUAAUUAAACACUUCCCUUAUCUUAAUCUUUACAACCUUGUGAAGUAGAAAACAACUGCUAUCUCCAUUGAUUUAUAGGGAAACUAAUCAGAGAAGCUGAAUAACUGCUGAAGUGAAGUCUAAAGCCGCCAGAAUCUUUAUUCUUAUUAACAAUUUUGUUCACAUUUACUGUGUAUGUCAUACAAUUCACUCAUUUACUGUUCUGCCCAGGGGUUUUUGGUGUGUCCAUACAGUUUUGCAGCAAUUUUUCCCCAGGAAUUGCCAAACUGUGGAAAGGGAAUCAUGCAAUAUGUAGGCUUUUGUGACUGGCUUCUUUCACUUAAAUAAUGUUUUUGAGGUUGUUGAAGUAUUCGUUAAUAUUGUACCAUCUAUCUGUGCUGUACUUCAUUGAACUUUAUGACCAAGUAAAAUCCUAUAGGAUUAAUAGACCACAUGUUUACCCUUUCAUCACUUAAUGAAAUUUAGGUCAUUUCCACCUUCAGGCUGUUAUAAAGAAGGCAGCUGUCAACAUUACUGUGACAGGUAUUUGUAUAUAUAUAUAUAUGUAUAUAAGUUUUCAUUUCUAGUUGAUGUAUAUCUAGAAAUAGAAGGGGUGGGUGGAUCAUAUGGGAAUUCUUUUUAACUUUAAGGAACUCCCAGGCUGGUUUUCAGAGGGAUGCCUCCUUUUCUGUGCCCUUAACAAUGGCUAAGGCUCCCCUUUCUGUACAUCCUUGACAAUGCUUGUUAUUCUUUAUUUAGUGCUUCAUUGACAGUCAUUCUGGCAGGUGUGAAGCAGGAUCUCAUGUUUUUGAUUUGGAUUUCCAUGAUGAAUGUUGAACAUCUUUUCAUGUAAUUAUUGACUAUUUGUUUCUUUUCUUUGGAAAAAAUGCCUAAGUAGAUUCUUUGCUCAUUUUUUAACUGAGUUGCCUUUUGAUUAUUGAGUUUGAAGGAUUCUUUAUAUAUUCUGGACACAAGUCUUAGCAGUAUAUGAUUUACAAAUUUUUAUCUGUUUUUGCAAGUUACCUUCUCACCUUCUUGAUAUCUUGAAAAACAAAAGUUAAUGCAAUUUACCCACUUUUUCUUGUUGCCUAACCCAAGAUUUACCUCAUGUUACUUCUAAGAUUUCUUAUAUUUUGAGCGUACACAUUUAGAUCUUUGACCAUUUAAAAUUAUUUUUUGUAGAUGAUAGCAAGUAAAGGUCAAAUUUCAUUCUUUUGCAUGCAAAUAUCUAACUGUCCCAGCAAUAUUUAUUGAAAAGAUCCAUUUUCCUUUCAUUGAAUGACAAUGGCCUCCUUGUCAAAGUCAGUGACCAAUGUACCUGGGUUUAUUUCUGCAUUCUCAGUUCUGUUCCCGUGAUCUGUAAGCCUAUCUCAUGUGAACAUCAUUUUCUCCUGAUUAAUGUAACUCUGUAAAAAUGUUUUAAAUAAGAAGUGUAGAUUCUCCAACUUGGUUCUUUUGCAAGAUUGUUUUCACUUUUUAGAUCCCUGCAUUUUCUGUGAACUUUAGGAUCAGUUUGUGUAUUGGGUUUUUAAAAGAGUAGUUGGAUUUUCUUUUUUCUUGCAGUACCAGAGAUUGAACUCAGGAGAACUUUACCUCUGAGCUACUUCCCUACCCUUUUUAUUUUUUAUUUUGAGCCAAGAUCCCAGGCUCCUCUUUAGAGAGGAGGGUGGGCGCCGCCCUCCCAAUCACAGCUUCACAGCUGCUGAGCUGUUUAAAUACCAGUCCACCACUUCCCUCUCUCAAGCCACUUGUCACACAGUGCAGGGGGGGUGGUCAGGUUCCUCUCACUGCCCUUACCACGUUCAUCAUGAAAGUCCCUUACCAAGAAGGUCCCUAACUUCUGUAUAGCUUGGAUAGUGAGCUGUGAUGGCUCAGGACAAAACAAAGACAAAAGCUGCCUUUCUUCCGGUAGUUCCUUGGUCACUUGUACCUGUGUGUGCCGGCCAAAUUUGCUGCCAGACUGCAGCAUCCUCUGUGUGGAGGAAGGCAAAAGGAGUGAGGGUCUCAUAUCCCAAAUCUGUCCUGUGUGAUUUAGCCACCCUAUUGCUUUGGAAAGUUCCCACAAUGUUGGGUCCCUGGUCUUCACAGAGGUGGCAUUUCAACUACCAGCCCUGUGGACUGGUUGGCCAUUUUAUAAAGUCCUAUAUGUUUUGUUUUAUUUGAAAGUCUUUUAUUUUAGAUUUGAGUUUGUCCUCAGGCUUUGUGUCCUUCGCUUUCUUCUAAUUACCUGUAUUUUUAUUUGAUUUGCUUUGAGAAGCUACAACCUGACUCCUCCUGUACUUAGCCAUGCUGAAUUCCUGUGAUCUUUUACAAAUGGCAUUGUUGAUAAACCCUAAGUCCCGGAUAGAGAAACCACAAAUGCACAUGAGCACACCUGCCAUCUAACAGGAACAUGGGUUUUAUUUUACUUAAAUCACGUCAGCAGGUCAUGAUUGAUCCCCAAGGUCAUGUCAACAGGUUACAAAGGACACAUUAACAAGCCACAAGCUCACUGUUUUUCUGCCCAGCCCCCAAAGGCCCACCAUAAAACACUAUAAAAAAGUGUCUUAGCCUGUAAGGAGAUACUUUCUCUGUUCUGAUUGCAUAAAGAGGUCCCUCUCAGGUUCAGUAGUAAGCCUGCUUAGACUGUUGAAUUUGCACCCCUUCUUUCUUACUCAUCCACGGAAUUGCUUUCUCAGUUAUAUUUUUCAGACUGUUCACUUUAAGGGUGUAGAAAUAUAAUUAAUUUUUGUAUAUUGAGCUUUUAUGCAGUAACCUUGCUGACUCAUUUAUUCUGAUAGCUUGACUUGGGGCUGCUACAGGUAGAUUCCUUAGGACAUUCUAUGCGCAAGGUCAUGUCAUCUCCAAGUAAAGUUGCUUUUACUCUUUCUUUUCCAAUCUGGAAGCUUUGACUUCAUUUUCUUACCUGAUUGCACUGGUUGGAAUCUCUACUAUAAUGCUGAAUAGAAGUGAUGAGAAUGCACCAUUAAGUACAUUGCUUGUGGCCAUUUUGAGGAUGUCUUUUACUAGACUAAAGAAGUUACCUUCUCUUUUAGUUUGCUAGGAAGUUUUUCAUGUAAAGGGUUAGACUUUGUGAGUUACUUUCCUCGUCUGUUGAGGUGGUGUAUUUUUUAAGUGAUUCACUGGCAGUCCCUGGACUUCCCCUAAACUGCUUUGGGAUGAGAGUCCAUUUCGGAAUGGAGAAUGAUCAACAAGGCUGUUGUCUAGAGUAUUUAAAAUUUGGAUUCCAGUUCUGACUUAUCAUGAUUUCCUGAAGAGUAUUGCAAUGAUUAGUUUACUGGGAGCCAUUUUUCAUGCCAUAUAAUAAAUAGAAAGCUAACUCAAAUUCAUGUAAAUUUUAAAUACACAUUCACAUCUUGAUUCAACAUGUUUACCCAACAGACUUGCACAAGGAUGCACAUUAUCUAUAAAAGAAUUUUCACCCUGAAUUACUCUUGAUAGAAAAAAUAGAAACAACCUACAUGUAUGUGAUUGGCCACAUGAAGUAGGACAUGUACAUAUGUGGGUUCACUGUCCCUGCUCCAAAAAGUGACGUACCUUGUUAGAAGGUGAGUAUGCAAUGAGAAAACUUUACCUUGUAUGGUUUUAAAGUUAGCACAUGUUUGCAGUACAUAGUGAUUACAUUCAUCACGAGGAGUUGAAGCAUGAACAUGACACAUCUCAAUUCUAUGUCUUCUUUCUCUUUCCUUCUCCCCACUUCCUUCAUCUCCUGGUCUUCUCAUUUGGAAAAAAUCUAUUUACCUGUUUCCUAUUACUUACCUUUUCUUUUUCUCCUUAAUUAAUAUUUUGAUUUUCUUAUAUAGGAGAAACCACGUAGUAUUUAAGCUUGUUUGUACUACUUAUUUCAUUUAAAAUUACAGCCUGAAGGUGCAUCCAUUUUCCUAUGAAUGACUCAAAUUUAUCCUCCUUUCUUGCAGAGUAGUGCAUAUGUAUUAUGCUACAUUUUCUUUAUUAUUCAUCUUUUGAUGAACUUUUAGGCUUUUCUAAGAUACAUCUAUUGUGAAUUGUGCUACUAUCAACAUGACUAUAUCUCAUAUGAUUUGUGUUUGUUUUUGUUUUGGGGGGAUGUUUUGAAGGGAUUGAAACAGGGUCUCCGUUUGUGGUUCAGACUGGCCUUGACGUUACUGUGUCUCCCAGGCUGGCAUCGAAUUCAUAGUGAUCCUCUUGCCUCAACCUCUUCAUGCUAGGAUUACAGGCAUGUGUCACCAUGCUUGGCUACAAUUUUGAACUAUAUACAUUUUUAUAAGAAUAAUGUAUCAAUUUUGUCAUUAAAAUAAAAAUAUUGAGAAUACAUUUUAAAUAAAAAUGUAUUUUUAAAAAUUAAAUAAAUUUAAAAUCUAAUAGGGUUAUUUUUUUAAAAUUGUAGUGGGGCGGCAGAUGUUUUGUAUUGGAAUGCUUCUAACUAUAUACGUGUUUGUAAAUACUGUUUUUAUCUGUGUAACUUAGUAAAAAACUAUGCCUACAGGAGCUGAUUAUCUCCUGGUAAUGACCACUGUAUUGGAAGGACGAGUGCGUGAGGUUUUUUUCCAUGAGUUGAGGGUCAGCUGACCUGGUUAGCUGAGGUCCGUUCAUCCAGGUUUUUCUUUCUCUGUCAAUAGAUUUUCUCAAAUAUGGGAAAGUAGAACCAAACUUUGGGGUAUUAUUAAAUAUUUGUAGCAGCCUUAAUUUAAAAUGGGUUUAUAGUUUAUUUGUUAUGAAUUAUAUUCCCCCCCCCAAGUGUUCUAACCUUCCCAGAUUGUGACCCUAUUUGGAAAUAGAACCACUACAGAUGUAGCGAAGGUGAGACCACGUGGGCUUUUAAUCUGGUGACUCUGGUGUCCUGUAGAGCAUGGCCAUGUGAAGACAGAUGGACAGAGAAUGAAUGCUAUGUGGAAAAGAGGUCAAACACUGGAGUCUGAUGCCAGGAAGCCAAAGAUAUGAGAGGGUCAGCAAUCUGCCAAAGCCAAGAGAACAGAGUAUCCUGUUCCCUGUAACACAGAGACUAACAGUUCUCCAGAGACACACCAGAACUGUAAAGCUGCACUGUUAAAAUUACACAUGGGGGGGGGGGGACGGGGAUUAGCUCAGCAGCAUCCUGCCUGGCAAGCACAAGGUUGUGAGUUUGAGCUGUGUUACCAAAAAAAAUUAAAAAAUAAAAUCAUUACACACCAGCAACUGUACAGCUGUACACAGAUUACACAGAGUCGAGAGUAUUUCUGCUCUUAUGUCCAUGCUCUGCUUAGGAGAGCAGACUAGUGAUGCUGAAGUCUAGUAAAUGCUACAAGGAGAAGGGAGAAGAGAUCAUUUGUUCUAAAGAAAGAGAUGAAGUAUCAGAAAAGGACCAGGAAUGAGCUACCGACUGAGAAGUGUAGCUUGUGGGCAGUUGAUGUUAAGAACUGUGACUUAUUCACCACAGUAUCUUCAACAGUAAGAACACAGCUGGUUUGUAACACAUUGAAAUGUAGGCCUCUAUUAAACAAACACACACACACACACACACACACACACACACACUAGUGCUAUAUAGGGCAUCCAUCUGUGAGCUUGAGCAGAAUACGUUUUUUACCUUCCAUCUCAACUUAGCUCACUAGUCAUUUUAUGCCAUUUAAAUCCUUAAACAGACUUACAGUAAAAGUAAAAUAUUACUAACGAGUUAAUUGAUAUUUUUAAGGAAUUUAAUGAUGUUCUUCCAGUUAGGAAUCAAGGUCAUUCAAACAGAGAUCAAACUAAAGCUUCCCUUUCCAUAUUCAAGAGGUCAGGACUUGCAAACACAAUUAAAACUGUAGACUGUCCAACUUUCACUGAACUGUUGGGUGAGCAGCCUUUUACAAAUGUCCUUCAGGCAGGCUAGCAGUACCUGCCAGACUUACAAAUGGAUCUAUCCUUAGACCGAGAAAUCUAUAUGGUAAUAUAUCUCAUUGGGGUUCUUGCUUGAUCUUACAGCUGGUUUCUUAUAGAGAGAAAUGAGAAGCAAACUAAAGGAAUGAGGAACCUCUUUAUUUCCUGAUCUCCUAAUAUCUUUAAGAUAUACUUGGGGCUGGGGAUUUAGCUCAGCGGCAUAAGCACCUGCCUUGCAAGCGCAUGGUCAUGAGUUCGAUCCCUGGUACCUAUUAAAAAAAAAAAAAGAUCUGUUAAGGUUGCUAAGGGAAACAAAUAAGGAGUAGGACCCUGUACCUACACACACACACACACACACACACACACACACACACACACACACUCACUCUCAUACCCCUCUACCACCACACGCUUCCAUGUUCUGGAAGGCAGCAUGGAAGCCUUGGUUGAUGCUGGAGAUGCAGCGGAACAGUGGGGUUGAAGCCAAGUGUGGAAGGAGGGUACUUUCUGAAUUUGAAAACAUUUCAAAUGCUAUAAUUCUAGAAUUUAUCUGAAAGAGUUAAAGUGCUUCUUAACUAAAAUACAAAGUGCCUGUUGGUCUUCAGUUUGCUUCAUGGAAGACGGAUUCUGUAGCUGACGAGCUGCAGAGGCUGUGAGGCUUGCUUUCCACGGUCUACUUUUUUGUAGUUUUUCAUUUUUUCUCCCUGUAUAUGUUUUGAAGGAAAAGUAAUUUCCCUUCAACAUUUUAGAUACUCCAUCUUACUUAGUUAAUGAACUUAUUGUACAAAGCUUUAAAAGUUAGCUGGGAGUGUAAUGGGGACUGUAGUUCAGUGCUAGAGCCCUUGCUUGGCAUGCGUGAGAUGGUCUCCAUAUCCAGUUACAAACGAAUAAAUAAAUAAAAUGGCCAAACUAGGUUUUAAAACCACGUAAAGAUUUAUAUUCAUCUGUUUCAAAUUUAUUAUUCCAACUCACCACAUAUUUUUGUAUUUUUUAUGUUUUUGCUACUGAUUAUAAUUUUUUCAAUGUUACCUGAAGCUCUGUAGUUCUAGACAUUUGUAUACAAGUUGAACGUCCCAAAUUCUAGAUCUGAAAUACGCUAAAAUUUGAAACAUUCAUGUUGAAUAUCAACAUGAUAUCACAUCAACAUCAGACUUCAUAUUAUGAGUCACAGUCAAAACACAGGUCACUUAAACUUCUGUUUAAAAGUUACCUGUCUGCUCUUUGUGUACGGGACCCCUGCAGCAGAAAUGACUUCCAUGUUUAGGCUUGGCUCUUGUCUUUCAAGUGCUAUGGCUGGGAUCAGAUGUCUCCCCCCAAAGCCUCAUGCAGUGAGAGGAGGGGAGUUUUGAAGAUAGCUGGAUUAGGAUAUGCGAUCUGGGAUUAAGGAUGUGAUGCUGGGAUUAGUGGUGCCCCCGCCAGGUGUGGAUGACACCACCUGGAAGCAGGUGGCCUGGGUGGACUAGAAAGGGACAUAAAUUGCUUUGCCGCCUUACUGCUUCUGCUGUUCCCCAGCUACUUGCUGUGUGUUGUCUCUGGCCUCCUUGCCGUGGACUGAUUGUCACCUGCGAUACCCCUCUGCCCUGCCGCCCUGCCUUGGAGCAAGCUGACUGUGGACUGAAACCUUUACCAACUUCCAGCUAAAUGAAGCUUUUCUCCUGUAACUUCGAGUUUUGAGUAUUUUGUCUCAUCAAUGAGAAAACCUCCUAAAGUCUGCAAUACUUCGAGCACUAGCAGGUCUUUGAUGAGUUGACUCUUCCGUAUCAGCACGCAAGUUUCAGCCAUUCACUAAGGUCUGAGAAACCACCAGACCAAUCUAGCUGGUGAUUUUUGGUGUCCUCAGCCAUGGACACCUUUGACAUGAAUUCGGAGGAUUCCACCGCAGCUCUGAGUCAAGGUACCUGAGGGUGUGGUGAGUGUGGCCCUGAUGGCGCUGAUGGAGUGGACCGGCUACAGCGCUGCUGCAGGACAACAGGCAGUGUCAGUACAGCAGGCCACCAUGAAGUUGGGCGAGCCACACCCCCAGAGCAACUGUGAGAUUUUCAUGGGCGAGAUCCUAGGCGACGUGUAAGAGAAAGACCUGGCGCCUGUGUUUGGGGCUGUGGGCCACAUCUACAGGUUGUGCCUCAUAAUGGACUAGGCCAGCAAGAACCACGGCUGGCCCUGGCCUUCAUCAGGUCCUGCCAAGUGCACUAAGCGCUGACAUGACUACGAGGUCCACUGGCUGCUGGAUUUGUACUGCCACAUGGACAACUGUCCCUCUUCACCUGCGGCACCCCCAACAUGGAGAUGCAGGUGGCCAAGGUCACCGAGGGUGUGCUGGUCUCAUCGUGCAUGCCAGCAUGGCCCACAAGACUGAGAACCACGAAUUCCCUCCGUGGAGAAUGAGAGCCACUGCACCACAGCCACAGUGUGGCAUGCCCAACAGCUUCCAACUGUGGGGCUGCCAGAUCAUGGUGGACCAGGCUGGGUCCGAGAUCAACGUGGAUAAGGACACCAUGGAGACUGUGACUCUCUUGUGUGUGCACAGCCUCAUGCUCCAGACCACUGAGGACACCAUCAACAGGGCUUUGGCCAGUUCAAUCCUGGGUGCGCAGAAGAUGUCAAGAAGGUCUAUGACCACCCCUUCACAGACGUCAGCAGCCAGAACAGCGCGCAGGCCAUGCUUCACCACCAGGACACCAGGCUGGAGGGCGCAUGCCUUGAGGUCACGCUGGCCAAGCCAUUGGACAAGAACAGUACUCCUGCCACCAGAAGGCAGCCAAGGGUGCCCAGUGACCAUGCUCUACGACCCUCCACGCUCAGCCACCGGGCUACCCCUCCAAUACUCACCAGCCCCCGGGGACUGCUUCUGAAAGCAGGUACUCAAGGUGGGAGCCAGGCUGGUACCAGAGCCCCAGGGCCCAGGGCCCUGACCUGGGGGUGUUCUGCCAGCCGUGGUAGCUGUGGCAGGCAGCAAGAAAAGGGUACGGACUGUGCUGAAUUUGGGAUUCUCUGCCAUCAGUCCAGGUGUCGUGAACCCUGGUGCAGUGGCCACUCCUGCCAUCGGGCUCUGUACUUCGUGUUUCAGGCAGGCCUGGCCUCUCAAAUGAUUAGAGAUGGCAAAAUUCACACCGUGCAGCACAGAAUCAGCCCUGAUGCCCCGCAGCCAUCCCAGCCAGCACUGCCCCGCGGCACCCACAUCAUCCCUGUGGUCCCAAUGCCCUUGUCACCUUCCCAGGGCUGCCUGGUCAUUGCAGUGUGCAUGGUGCCCUGAACGUUCACACUUCCGGCACUUGUGGGCUGCCCGGCCAUCUCCAUGAUAGCUACGCUGCGAAGAGGGUGACCAGCAGCGGCUGCAAACGUCAAGCCUUCCCCGCUGAUGCUGUUCAGGCCGCAUUCACCAAGCCUACCAGACAGGCUGAGGCUGGCAACAGGGAGAGGGACAGCCCCACAGACCCCACCAAAGGAAGCUGUACCAUGUGUGAAGAAAGAACAUAAGAACCAGAAAGCCAGCAUGGGGAAGACUCAGCGCAGCAGAGUCCAAACACUGGGACGCUCCCAUGGUCACCGUGCCCGGGCUCCGGUGCCUGCCUUAUUAACUGUGCUCUUGGCCUCCUCCCAACUCGGACCCUCCGCGUUUGGCAAGUCUGGGACGAAUGGAAAACUCUGGUAGAGAAAACAGCUCGUGGCUUUCAUACUUCUUCCUGGGUUUUUGGUGAAGCAUUUUUGUUUCGCUGUAUUUUUUUCAUUCUGCCUGGGGAGAUUCUCUUCUAUAAGUGCUAUUUUCAAUAGCAGAGUACAGGUACAUUCAAGGUUUUAUUAUGUUUGUGUAAGACAUCUUUGCAUUUAAGUUGUCCAAUAUAAAACUUUGAUUUCCUAAUGCUCUUGUUUUUGAAGUACGGCCUUCAGAGACAAUGAAUGUACGCUACUGUAGACAAGACCCAGCAGAAAGUUAAGCUUCUGGUCUUCUUAUCAUGUUUCAUGCAAAACAUGUAAGGACAGUUGUGGCCUGAACAAUGGUGUUAAUCCACCAAGCAGGGCUCUCCUUGCACCGAGCACUUGUGGGUGAAUUUGGGCAGGUGCAAGUCCAGGAGGAGAAAAGACUGGUAGGAGUUAAAAGGAUUUGUAAGUAUCCUUUAAUGCUUUCUUGUUGCAAAGUUCCACCUUACAUGGUUUAAUACAAAAUGGAAUCAUUUUAUUUCAAUGCCUUCAGAAGGGUCUGUUUUAUUAGGAAGUGAAUACAUUGUUGCAUAGUUUUGUGCCUAAAGGUUUUUGCUUAGCAGCAGUAACUGUAAGCUACAGUGACAUGCUCAGACCAGGGUUUAUUUUAUGAACUACAUCAAUUCAGAUUGCUCUUAAUGACUGUAUCAAGGAAAAUGCGAUGCGCGCUGUAGACAGCAAAUACACAGCUGUGUGUCUCUGUCAUGUUAGAGGCACAUCCAACCUCAUUCAAGGUUUGUGGAUGGCUAAAUCCUUAUUUGUGAGUUAACAAUAGGAUCAUGCCCUUAGCAAAUCCUUCUAGAUUUUUUUUUAAAUUAAGAGAUUCCCAAAUACCUUUCCCCCCGUCAGCUUGGGUUUUUAUAUGUAAGGAAUAUUUAUUUAGCCAUUCUAUGUUAUUACUGAAUGCCUGCUGAGGCCUCUAAAUGUGCUGACAUUCCCCUCUCUUUCUUAAAUGACAGAAAGUAAUUGUGUGGUGUUCCUGGUGCGGUACCUAGGAUGCUGUGUCCAAAGGUCAAGUCUGUUGGAAUGGAUAUUCCAACAAAAUGCAGCGUGGCCCGGAUCCUCAUCCCUUGACGUGCAUGAAGGAAGUACUGACCUUCCAGGGAAGAACUGUAUGAAACUCUGAGCCCCCAGAGUUGUUACUGUGUUGUAUUUCCUGUAAGUUAUUUGAAAAAAAAUCUUGGCAUGGCUACUAGCAAACUACCUUAAAAACAAAUGUUGCUGACGGCCAGUGAAGAAUCACCGAGCCUCUUACAUCUGUGGUCUUAUCUGUUUCUGUUAUUUCAAAACCAUUUCAUAGUACACUACUGGGGUAAGUUUACAACUUGAAAUACGAAUUUUUUUAAGGUUAAGAACAAACUAUAUAAAUUUUUUUGAAAAAAGUUUUAGGGUUCUGUUUCCAAGCGCAUUAGUAGUUUAGUUAUCAUUGGCUGCUUUGUAUUUGAAAGACUUUUCAGAUCCUGGUCCAUUUACUGUGCAUUCCCUAGGCUGUAUGCAGCAAAUGAAGCUUUUUUUAAAGAGAAAAAAAAGUGCCAUGGGAAGGAAUUGGUAAAUCUAAUGAUCUGUGACAACAUCCACUUUGCUGCUGCUGCUGUUUCUGUGCAGGCCGCCUGGGGUCACUGUUGGAAACCGGGAUUCCACUGUCCUGUGAGGGCUCCUUCCCAGUGGGGUGCAGUCCAGGACAGCGCUGCUUCUCAAUGUCUUCGUUGUUUGCAUUGGCUUUGAACUUACUAUGUGUCCUCACUAGGUUGUGUUUUACCACAUAUUACUUAAACAUCACAAUAUACCUACAAAUGUUAUUUUCCCCAGUUUGACAUGUGUAAAAAUUGAAGAAGUUUGAAACAAAGACCCAGGUCAGAAUGAGGGAUCUUUCUAACCUGAGUGUGACUAACUUGCCAAUCACUAUUAUUAGAAGUCCAUCCCUUAAAUGUGUUCAUGAUUUUUGACCGGGUAAUUCCACUUCUAAGUGUCUGUCCUAUAUAGAGACACACAUAAAUCUUUACAUAGCAGCACAUUCAAUGUCAUAUACACUGGUAGGAAAACUAGAACAAUCCAGAGGGUCACCAAGGGGGAAUUAAUUUACAAUCCAUCCAUGAUUCAGAAUCAUAAAUUAUAGUUACCAUGCGAUUUCUAUUAGCCCGUCAUAACUCUAAGCAUUUUAUUUUUUAGCUCAAUUAAACCCCACAAAGUUGUCAUUAUCAUGUUUCAUCUACUCUAAGACAUCAUCUGUGAGAUGUUCUGUUCAGCUCCACUAAGAAAAAAUGCUAUCGAUUAUGACAGUACUUUUUUUUUUUUAUGAUGGUGAGACACUUAUUUCAGAGAAGUUGAAACAUGGAAUAAACGUUCAUUUUACAACUGGAGGUUUAUUAUAAAACAUUUAAAAUAUUUUAAAUUAUAUGUGAUGGAUUAAAAACUAGUGGUCAAUUUAAACACCAGCUGAACUGAAUCAGCAUAGUUCUGGGUAUAGAUGAUCCACCUGAGGAAAGUGGCCAGCACAAAAAGGAGACCUGGAGAGGAAAAGUAGCAUUGUGGGUUCUCCGAAGUGGUGGUGUUAGGAGCUGUUGGUUCUUUUGAGCUGUUGGUGUUCCUGGAGGAGCUCGUUAUGCUGGCUCCCCUGAUACGAACUCAGCUGUUACUGUAAGAGGAGCUUGGAACCUUGUUGCUGAGAAUGGCUGCAGUUCGCUUUGAGGAAGCUCUAGUCCUUACUUUAGGCAGUGCUUCCUGGCUCCGGAGGGGAAGAUAGUGCUGUUAAUCUCCAGAAGUCUGUCACACUGACUUCCUGAUAUGAACUCGGCUGUUCUCACUGUCGGAGGAGCCCGGGACCUCCUUGUUGCUGAGGAUGGCUGUGGUAGUUUUCAGGGGAGCCCUGAUCCUUAUUUUGAGCAUUGCUGCUUGUCUCCAGUGCAGAUCCCUCAGCCUGCUGGCACAGAUCCUUCACCCCACUGGCUCAGACUUUCUGGCUUCCACUGCUGAUCUUUGAGCCUUUCCAGCUCAGAUCCAUGAAAUAGACUUGCGUGAGUCAUUGUCAUGGGCUCUAGGCCUCCAGCUGAACUCAUGCAGGGUAUUGCCAUGGGAUCCAGGCCCUUGGUUGGAUUUUCUAGGUCUUUAGUGUUGUGGACAGAUAUCCUACAUUUUCUUUGUAUUUGACUCCUUGGGUGACCAUUAUAAAUAAUACUAUAAAUUAUGUGUUCUGCAUUGUCUUGUUCUCCUGGCAAACUCCUGAGAACAACAUUAUAAUAUAAAAUAUAUUAAUAUCCAUUAUUAUAUGGGAGAGAAAACUGAGGCACACAAAAAUUAAAUAAGUUGCCCAAAGUAAAAAAAAAAAAAAAUAGAAUUAAUAGUAGCCUAGGUGACCAGAAGUCCUUUAAGGAAAAGCCUUAAAGGAAAGUCCAGAAGGCCUUUAAGGAAAAUGCAACUCAUGGACUUUAAAAACCUAGAGGGCUUUUGAACUGACUUCAAAUUAGGAAAUGUUUCUAUUAGGAUCAAAAGAAAUUCUUCUAAUCAGCAAGUUAAACAGAGCUCUGAUCUAAAAGGUGCUGCUCAGGUAGAAUAGGGAUGGGGUUGUUGUGUUAUAUGUUCGUGGUGUGGGGUUCAGACUCUGAGCUACAUUCUCCUGUCCCAUCAAAGAGGUUGUUACUUUCUUCGCUAUGCUGUGAGAUGUUUUGUGUUAAUGCUUUGCAUUGGCAGCUUUUGCUUCCCCUUGUGAGUUUUUUCUUAUUGCUGCUGUUCAGGAAACAUGAAAACUCAAUUAGAUGUAAACUCGUGCACCAAGUACUGGCAGGCAAACAUUUUACAGCGUGAACACCAGCUUUCGGAAUGGGAUGCCAGUGUUUUUACACCUUUACUGUAUACAUUCCGAACUAAGUCCACUUUCUCUUUUUGAGACAUUAGGGUUUCUAAUGUUGGUCCAAGGGUUUGCUUCUUUCUUCAGAAGCCUUUGGGAGCUUAUGGUGUGAGAGUCUGCCAUUUUCACAACCUCUGCAAUGUGAUAAACCUAGAAACGUCAUGGCAGCAUGUGUACAACCUGUACAUACUGCAUUUAUUUCUUAAUGUACUUGUUUGAAGAGUUUGUUUCCCACUGGAGCAAAUCUCAUGUACCCCAGUUCUUGGUAAAUAAGUACUUUUUUCUCCACAGAGAACAGUGAGUGCAUUUGUUUCUGUUUGUUUAUACAAUGUUUUGAUUUAGUUAUAUUAAUUCACUUAAAUGUUAAUUGUGAUCCCAUCUUAUAAUAAUGAAUUCUUGAAUUUAGACCAUCAACAAGCCCAUGAACUCAGACAUACAACCACUAGUAUAGAAUUACAACAGGUCCUUCACUUACUAACUCAAUUCAUUCACAAGGGCUGGUUGUAACAAAAGUUGGAUAUAAAUUGAAAUUAUUUUUCCCAUAAGAAAUAAUGGAAACACCUAUAAUACAUUCCAAACCUCCCAAAGUACCCCUUACCUAACCUUUUCAUGAUAAAAGGGUUAUAUAAUGUGUAUAAUUUACCAGGAACACCAAUAAUUUUCCUAGUGUAUUCACCAAGAAGUUACAAAAUCUUUACCAGGAACAGUUUCGCACUGUCCAAGUCUCUAUCCAAGUGGACACCUUUGGCUUACAGGAAAGGAGGACGCAGCGGGAGGCAAUUGCUGUUUGGAAGGAGUAACUGCUUCCACAGGAGCAUCAGGAACCUGGCUCUGCUGUCCUCUCUCUCCUCAGAACAGUCUGUAGCCCGCUAGGACCUGCUUCUAGCUCAGAACUAAAAACUGGUCUAAGCUCAUCUGUCUUUCUCUUAUCUUUUCGAUUGUGAUUGUUUUCCUUACCUACCCUUCCUUAGCUUCUUUUCUAGCUUUUUUUGGACCGUUCUGACAGCAGUAAUCGUAGCGAUUACAUGAAGCACAGACUCACGUCACAUUCACAAACACACACCUGGGCUCAGACUGAUGCUAAUGUGCACUUUCCUGGUAUCGCCAGUCUGUUUACAACCUGCUGCCUUUUGGGCCAUAACUCAAGAUGUCAGUCAUAAGUUAAACCUAAAUUUCUGGUCCGAAAUUGUUCAUUUGUGAGGCCAGUCAUAAUUCAAGGGUCGACCGAACUCGUUUCUGUUUUUGCCACAGCUAGCUCAGAUCUUGCUUUCUUUAUAAAAGGAGGGGAAAGAGAGAAGAAAACUCCCUUGGAGGAGUCCAAGGGAAGUGAGAUUAUUUACCGUGUUUCUUAGCUUUCAGGUGCUUGCCCCUUCAGAGCCACUGGGUACCCUAGGAGAUGCUGGGGCCACAACACUGCAGUGAGACUGCCCCAUGCCAGGAAAGCCCGGGAAAUCAGCCUUUAGUUGGGUGCGGACCAGCACUGGGGAGAGUCUCCUGGAGCCCUAAAUUUCUCCAUGGGUUCAGCCACUUUUGCUUGGUAUGUGGCAUCCCAGCUGGGUUAGAAGAAGAUAAGCCUCUGGGAGCCUCUAGGAAAGCCCAUGUUUGAAACAAUGAGCGCUCCAUGGAGUCCCUGAGACUCGAAACUGGACCUUGAAAUCCACCUUUCUACAGAGCCCUUUAAGAUCUCCCAAAGCAUCUGCAAACUGUGUUAAAUAGUUCACAGAUUCUUAGUUGGGUAUUUCCUUAAAAAUGUCCUAUGCCUUAUCAGAUUCAGAUUAUUUUUCCAAGAACUGGAGGGAGAUUUGCAAUGGGAUAAUCCAGUUCACAUGGUAAAAAUGAAACUGUGACCACAAAACUAAUGAUGCAAUAAAGUGAAUGUAGUAAAAGAAACACUAAAGGAAACCGGAAGCCUUGGUGUCUUAAAAAGAAAAACCACAGUGAGACAGCUUCAACCUGCUGAAUUGCUUACGCUGGUUUCUCCACGCACAGACCAGGGGUUUCUGUUACUAACCUGGGCCCUGUUGGGUUGAAAGGAAAAUCCAGCCACCAACAAGGGCUCCCAAACCUGUUCUACUGCAUUGGAAAGCUCAUAUUUUAUAAGGGUCUUUUUAUUAUAAUCUCUGUUUUCUACAUUUAAACAUUGAAAUAAUAGGCGCAAUUACUAAGUUUCUUGGUUUCAUUAAUAUGGAAAUUAGGUCUCAGAGGAAUUAAAUAGCUUUUCUAAAACAUGCAACAAGUAAAAGGAAAACAAAAAUUGGCACGUGGGUGUCACAUGCUCUAAAACAUGUUCAUUCUUUUACUCCAGACUUUCCAUCUGGGGAAAAAUAUAAAUACUAUGAAAUUGAUCAUAUCUGAUUGGUAUACUUGUAAGAAUUAGAUAGUACAGCAUUCUUUUUUAUUCAUCUUUCUGGAAAGAGCCACACGUAAUGGAUGGGAUUUAGAGUCCAAAAAGCUGGACUCUGAGUCUGCUUCCAUCAUUUGAUAGUAAUGGAAUUCUGAGUCACCACCUCACCUCAGUCACAUCAUUUAUGAAGUGCAGGUACCCGGUAAAAUCACCUUUGCUUACUUAAGACUUUCUCCACAUCAACUAGUAACAAAAUAGAUGCAUCCAUGGAGUGACAAGUAUCUAGUUAUAUGCAGUGACUUUGGCCUCAUGACAGGUUGCCGUCAUCUACAGCAUUAUCUGUACGAGGGAGUCACAUUCUCAGAAAGCAAGCUCUGACCUCUGAGGUGGAAUCAUCUCCCCACAGCUGUCACACUUCCUCCACCUAUCCGCUUCCUCCUUGGCUCUGAUCACAAGCUGCCUUUUACAGGUAUUAGCUGACUGUCCCAUGUGUGUCUCUCCCUGAGGAAGCUGUAGACCCCUGGGUUUUGCACACAGCUGUUCUGUGAUAUGGGGAUUAAACUCAGAAGUUCUCUAUCACUAAGCUACGUUCCUAGCCCUUUGUGAGACAAGAUGUCAGAACCUUGCCAAUAAUAGUCUUUUUUUUUUUCCGAUUGUUUUGAAACAGGGUCUUGCUUUGUAGUUCAGCCCAACCUUGAACCCACUAUGUAGCACAGGAUGAACUUGAACUUGCAGCAAUCCUCCUGCCUUAGCUUCUUCAGUGUUAGGAUGACAGACGUGGCAGUAAAGUCUUAAUAGUUGUCUUAGACAGAAAACCAGAUUGAUGCUUGCUAAAAUGUUACAGCUGCUGCCCAUCUCAAUGCCUUCAUCUCUAUUUUCCGGAGUGGCUUUACUAAACAUGAAUUGCUUUGAAAUCAGAUAUAAAUUAAAAACAUGGAGCGUGGACUCUGGGGAGCUCCCCAUCAGUGUUCUUCUGGGAGCAGCUAUGGCUGUUGCCCACACAUUAGGUUGGGGCAGCUGAGGCUUUCGCAUAUUUAAUUACUGCAGCCAAAAACAUGCUGCCAUCUUCCUGCACUUGCCCAGGUCUGUGAAUGCCAGCUCUGAGCAGGGUGGUGAUGGCCACGAGUUCCCUUCACCAGAACCACAUUGGCAUGGGUUUCAAUCAGGCUGGGAUGGGAGGGCACCAGGUGUGGCCUAGAGUAAGUUGUGGGAGAAGUGAGGAGCACAGGCCUGUGGCUUCAUGGUCUGCCAUGUGGACAGAUCAUGGUGUAUCACCCACACCCAGGGCAUUUCCCUGUAUAAUUCAGUGGCUACAUAUUUUAAUUUUCUUUCUUUUCUUUUUUUUUUUUUUUUUUUUUUGAUACUGGGGAUGGAAUUCACAACCACAUUCUUGCAAGGCAGGCACUUAUGCUGCUGACUAAAUCCCCAGCCCCAUGGCUACAUAUUUAGAAUGCAAUGAAGGCGGCUUAGAAUUUUGGCUUUGUAUGUUAUCUUGCAUAAUUUAUCUCUAAAUUUCAGAUGCAUCAAAUAUAAAAUUGGGUUAUUUUUAGCAACUUUCAGAAUGAUUGUAUUAGUGACCAUCACUAACCAGUAAAUGAAAGUAUAUCUUCAAAAGUAUUUUAGCACAUUAUCAAUAAAGGCCUAAUUGAUUUUACCUUUCUCCUCUUAUGUAUAUUGUGAACACAAGGUACUGUGUUUCAUGUUAUGCAAAAUAAGAUGAAAACAGAGUAGCUCUUCCUUUUUUCCUUUAUACAAAUAAAGAAUUCAAGCACAGGUAAGUUGAAGGAGUUGCCCAAGAUCACAAAAGAUUAGAAAAUGUGAAGCAAAGAUGUGAAUCCCAAAAGUGUUCUUGGCACUUGGCUCAUACUUCCUUGUAAAAGAGUCCCUUCACACUUUCUGGAAUUCAGAUUUUGGGGCCCAAACCUGCCUCUACUGCAUGAGAAUUUCCAAGGUGACUCUUCGGAGGCCAGUGGAAAGCACUGGUCCAGAAACUAUGCCAUCAGCCAGAGCUGACAUUCUGAGCGGAAGUGCCCCGCCCACUGCCCCAGAGUGAGUGCCACCUUGCCUAGUGGCCCACUGGGACAGAUGGCUGGAGUCUGCCAGCCCUCUCCCAGUGGCGCUGCUGUAGGCUCAGGGAUGCAGCUAAGGUCUAAGGUGAUCCAAGAGUUACUGUUAUUAAAUAUGAGGAAGAGGAGGAUGUGGAACAAAAACAUUUACUUGUAAUUUAAAGUGUGGCAAAAGUACCAAAAAACAAACAAUGCUCAGAGACAGUCAUGUGCUAGUUCAUGUUUAACCAGCAACCCUGAACCUCUUGCCCAGAUCUGUGUCCUCCUACUCCUCUCCCCAGGGUGAAUGCUUCCACAGGAUGUGCUUUAGGCCACCAGCAUGAGGCCACGCAAGCAUCUUUGCUUUCUUUGGGCAAAGGUGACCAAGAGAUGGAGUGUGGCUGGAAGAAACACAUAAAAAAAAUUAAGAUGUGCUGUGUACAUGUGUCAGCUUGUCAUGAGGAAUGUAAUCAUGUCCUGCAAACAUGUACCAAUAAAAAUCAAAACUAAAAAAAUGAACUAAAAUGUCCUUUCUAAUACCAGUUCUGGCUAAAACUAGACUAUAUUAUAUCAAACCAACAGUCACUUUAAAUUUUAAUAGUUUCAUGAAUUUUCUAAUAACU